rnacentral:rRNA from 1 species
CAGUAGCCGCGGUAAUACGAAGGGUGCAAGCGUUACUCGGAAUUACUGGGCGUAAAGCGUGCGUAGGUGGUGGUUUAAGUCCGUUGUGAGAGCCCUGGGCUCAACCUGGGAAUUGCAGUGGAUACUGGGUCACUAGAGUGUGGUAGAGGAUAGUGGAAUUUCCGGUGUAGCAGUGAAAUGCGUAGAGAUCGGAAGGAACAUCUGUGGCGAAGGCGACUAUCUGGGCCAACACUGACACUGAGGCACGAAAGCGUGGGGAGCAAACAGGAUUAGAUACCCGGGUAGUCCCUGUCUCUUAUAC